UGACGCAGCGACGCCGCGUGUGGGAUGACGGUCUUCGGAUUGUAAACCACUGUCGGGAGGGACGAAUACGCCGCAAGGCGGGUGACGGUACCUCCAAAGGAAGCACCGGCUAACUCCGUGCCAGCAGCCGCGGUAAUACGGAGGGUGCGAGCGUUGUCCGGAAUCACUGGGCGUAAAGGGCGCGUAGGCGGCCUGAUAAGUAGGGGGUGAAAUCCUGCGGCUUAACCGCAGGGCUGCCUUCUAAACUGUCGGGCUCGAGCACAGUAGAGGCAGGUGGAAUUCCCGGUGUAGCGGUGGAAUGCGUAGAGAUCGGGAAGAACAUCAGUGGCGAAGGCGGCCUGCUGGGCUGUUGCUGACGCUGAGGCGCGACAGCGUGGGGAGCAAACAGGAUUAGAUACCCUGGUAGUCCACGCCGUAAACGAUGGGCACUAGGCGUCGGGGGGAGCGACCCUCCCGGUGCCGUCGCUAACGCAGUAAGUGCCCCGCCUGGGGAGUACGGCCGCAAGGCUG
rnacentral:rRNA from 1 species